UCAGCUUCCAGAGCAUGGGGCAUAGCUGAGGAAACAAAGAUCUGCACACAGAUACAGGACACAGACACAUACACAGACAGACCCAGGCGGCAACAUGGGGCAAGAAAAUCUGGGGCAGUCUUAAGAAAAAUGGGAAGCUGCUGGAAGGUUUUGAGCAAAGGAGGGACAUGAUCUGAUGUGUGCUUAUGGCUAAUGUUCUAAGAAGAGACUGCAGAGAGGAUGCAAGGUUAGAAGGAAGGAGUGAAAUAGAAAGCAAGGUCAUCAGCUGAGAGUAAUGCAGAAGGAAGAGUUGGAGGUUUGAGGACAGAGAAGGUGUGAAAUAAUUGUCCAUAAAAUGAGACAGUGAAUUGGCAAAGAAACGAGCAAGAUCACGUGGCAGCUCCAAGGGUCCACUUGAGUUCCUCUAGGAGCUGAGAGUGACCCCCAGCUGAUAGCUAGCAAGAAGCCAGGGACGCCAGUCCUACAGCUACAAGGCGAUGAAUUCUGCCAAGAACUGAGUGAGUUUGGAAGAGGAUCCAUCCCCAGUCAAGCCUCCAGAUGAGAACCCAGCCCUGGAUAACACCUUGACUGUAGCCUUGCAGAGGAUCCAGGCUUAUCAGCAGACUGGAAACAGCAAAAAAAAGGAUCAGUGAACCUGAAGAUAGGUCAAUAUAAAUUAUCCAAAAUCAAUCACAGAGAGAAAAAAGGAGUGGGGAAAAAAAGAACAUAUCUAAGAGAAGUAGGACAAUAGCAAAUGAUCUAAACACAUGUAUCCUUGGAUUCCAGAACAAGAGAUAGAAAAUAGGACUGAAGAAUUAUUUAAAGAGAUAACUUUCAAAAAGAAUAAAAGACAAAUAAACCACAGAUCCAAGAAGUUCAGAGAGCCCAAGCAGUAUAAAUACCAAGAAAAAUCCACUUAGACUCAUCGUAGUCAAAUUGCUAAAACCAAGAGAUAAAGGGAAAAUCUUGACGGUGGCAGAGAUAAAGAAACUUUUUCUACAGAACCACAAGGAUAGGAAGAAGAAGAGAUUUCUUAUCAGAAAUUAGGCAAGCAGAAAACAUCUUUAAAGAACUGAAAAAAAAAAGUCAGUCAAGUCAGAAUUCUGUAUUCAGCGAAAAUACCUUUCAAAAAUGAACUUUUGCUCAGUCAUCCUCUUGCAUUAUCAGAAAAAAAUUUCCAGUUCAACAAAGAUAAAAUGAACUUUUCCACACUGAGAAACAUCCAGGGUCUAUUUGCUCCACUAAAACUACAAAUGGAAUUCAAGGCAGUGCAGCAGGUUCAGUGUCUUCCAUUUCUUCCAAGCUCAAACCUUUCACUGAAUAUUUUGAGGGGUAAUGAUGAGCCUAUUGGAUUUGAAGAUAUACUUAAUGACCCGUCACAAAGUGAACUAAUGGCAGGACCACAUUUGAUGGUUGAAUAUAAACUUGGUUUACUGUAAUGUAACACGCUAUUCAUGGAAAUAGAGGGGCUGCAUCUUGUUUAUAGUCAUCUUUUACUAUAAUUUGAUGUGCACAGCAUUAAAAGUACUGACACAUGAGAAAAAAAAAUGAGGGUGAAAAAAAAUGAGCAUGAAGUAAGAUUUUCUUCCAGAAAAACAAAAGCUGCUCUCAGCUUUUGAGAUCUGCACAACAAGAAAUGUUAAGGAAGUUCUUCAGGCUGAAGGAAUCUGAUACAAGAUAGUUUUGUUUUUUAUCUACACAAAGAAAUAAAGAGAAAAUAUGGGUAAAUAUUAAAAAUAUUUUUCUUAUUUUACCCUUUAAAAAAAUUUUAACAGUCUGAAGUAAAAACAUUUAAAAGGCUUUACAAAAUAUGUUGAAGUAAAAGGAAUGAGAACAGUGGCAUGAAGGACAAGAGGGAGGAAAUGAACGAACACGAUGGUAAGAUUCUUACUCAGUAUCAGUACUAUACCAUCAUUUGAAAGUGAACUGUGGUAAGAUAAAGAUGUGUAAUGUAAACCCUAGAACAACCAGAUAUUAGAGUGGCCUAGAUGGUGGAGUAGGAAGACCCUGAGCUUAUGUCCUCCCAUGGGUACUCCAAAAUUACAACUAUUUACAGAGCAACCAUUGAUGAGAAUGACCUGAGGACUAGCAGAAAAGAUUUUCCACAAUAAAGAUAUAAAGAAGGAACCACAACAAGAUGGGGAGGAGGGGUGGAGAUGCAGUAUGGCCAAGACCCACACACCUGGGUAGGUGGCCUACAAACAGGAGGAUAAUCACAAUUGCAGAGCUUCUCCUCAAGGAGUGAGGGGUCUGAGCCCAACAUUAGGCUCCUCACCAGGGGGUCUUGCACUGGGAAAAUGAGCCCCCAGAACAUCUUGCUUUGAAGGCCAGUGGAUCUUGUGUACGGGAGAGUCAGAGGGAUGAAGAAAACAGAGACUCUGUUCUUAAAAGGCAUGUGCCAAUUCUCACACCCUCUGAGACCCAGUGCACAGGCAAUAAUUUGAAACGAGCCUGGGUCAGAUCCACAUACUGAUUUUAGAGAGACUCAGAAAGAGGCAGGAGGUCUCUGGGACUCCCGUGGGUACAUAGAUGCUGGCAGCAGCCAUUUGGGGAGCUCCUCCUAUCAUGAGGACACCAGUGCUGGCAAGUGCCAUUCUGGAGUCCUCCCUCUAGAACCCCUCCAGGCCAAGGAGUUCAAUCAUGUGGGGGCCUAGCCCCACCCACGAGUGGGCAGCCACCAGCCCUGGACUCACCUCAGCCCCA